UUUUUUUUUUUUUUUUUUAUACUAAAAUUGGAACAAUACAGAGAUUCGCAUGGCCCCUGCGCGAGAUUGACACGCAAAUUCGUGAAGCCUUCCAUACGUGU
rfam:Gorilla gorilla gorilla genomic chromosome, chr15, whole genome shotgun sequence